rnacentral:rRNA from 1 species
UGAGUAACCUGCCCCAAACUCUGGGAUAAGCACUGGAAACGGUGUCUAAUACCGGAUACGAGCUUCAGCCGCAUGGCUAGGAGUUGGAAAGAAUUUUCGGGUUUGGGAUGGACUCGCGGCCUAUCAGCUAGUUGGUGAGGUAAUGGCUCACCAAGGCGACGACGGGUAGCCGGCUGAGAGGGCGAUCGGCCACACUGGGACUGAGACACGGCCCAGACUCCGUACGGGGAGGCAG